rnacentral:rRNA from 1 species
AUUGAAUGCUGGCGGCAGGCCUAACACAUGCAAGUCGAACGAGUGGCGGACGUGUGAGUAAUGUCUGGGAAACUGCCCGAUGGAGGGGGAUAACUACUGGAAACGGUAGCUAAUACCGCAUACCAUCGGAUGUGCCCAGAUGGGAUUAGCUAGUAGGUGGGGUAACGGCUCACCAAGGCGACGAUCCCUAGCUGGUCUGAGAGGAUGACCAGCAACACUGGAACUGAGAAACGGUCAAGACUCCUACGGGAGGAAGCAGUGGGGAAUAUUGCACAAUGGGCGCAAGCCUGAUGCAGCCAUGCCGCGUGUAUGAAGAAGGCCUUCGGGUUGUAAAGUACUUUCAGCGAGGAGGCGUUACUCGCAGAAGAAGCACCGGCUAACUCCGUGCCAGCAGCCGCGGUAAUUC